AACGAACGCUGGCGGCAGGCUUAACACAUGCAAGUCGAGCGCCCCGCAAGGGGAGCGGCAGACGGGUGAGUAACGCGUGGGAACAUACCCUUUAGUACGGAAUAGCCUCGGGAAACUGGGAUUAAUACCGUAUACGCCCUACGGGGAAAGAUUUAUCGCUAAAGGAUUGGCCCGCGUUGGAUUAGCUAGUUGGUGAGGUAAUGGCUCACCAAGGCGACGAUCUAUAGCUGGUCUGAGAGGAUGAUCAGCCACACUGGGACUGAGACACGGCCCAGACUCCUACGGGAGGCAGCAGUGGGGAAUAUUGGACAAUGGGCGAAAGCCUGAUCCAGCCAUGCCGCGUGAGUGAUGAAGGCCCUAGGGUUGUAAAGCACUUUUGUGUAGGAAGAAGGUAUGUUGUUAAUAGCAGAUGUAUUUNACGGUACUACAAGAAUAAGCACCGGCUAACUCCGUGCCAGCAGCCGC
rnacentral:rRNA from 1 species